UUGGUCAAAGAAAAUCUAAUACGC
rnacentral:miRNA from 1 species